GCACCCGGCCGGCCGGCAGGCUGUAAGGAAAGGAUUAUAAUGUGGGGUGGGAGCAGGGUGGGGAGGCACGGGAAGCCGAGCAGUCAGCCAGGGCUCGAGCCGCCCUCAGUACUCGUCCUGGUCUUCCUGUUGGUGUUCCUCAAUCUCAUCAUCCUCAGGGGGUGCAAAUCCUUCCUGGAGGGUGGGAAAGGAGAGGGAAGUGGUGAGCCAGGCAGGCCAGGCCGAGGGGGAGACGGCUGCCCCAGGGCUCCAGAGAAAGGGCUGAGUUCUAGUUCCACUUCCCCUGCUAAUCUCUAUGUGGCCUUGGGCUCUGACUUCAGCGGGCUCUCCUCAGCCCUCGGGUGCCACCCCUUGUGGUCUCCACGGGGCGAUCUGUGAGUGGGCCUGGGACGGGAGCGGGCGCCGGCAGAGCUCACCUCAGUGGCGUAGAGAAUGCCAAUGAUGCCCGAGAUGACAGGGCUGUUCUCACUUUCGUGUUCCUGGCAGAUGAGCUCGAUGUCUCGAAGUUUGCUGAAGUAGAAGUCACGCUCCUUCUCCAGCCCAUCCACGGUCAGCUUCAAAUCCAAUAGCUGCUCCGGGACAAGGUGGUGUUCAGGCCAGAGAUCCCUGCCUCAGACUCCCCUUCCCGUCCUGACACCCCAAGGGCCUGGCUUUUGUUGAGGGCUCUCUCAGCGACCCUCGCCCACCCUACUCACCUGCUGGUUGAGUUCAAGAAUCUGGGCAUCAGUCUCAUGGCCGCCAUUCCGGGCUGAUGGGGGAUUCUUCCGGAGGAUGCAGGGUGGGGCCACAUUGCUCAGCCGACCAGAGGUCUGCAUAUUUUUGGGGCCUGUGGGGGACGUCCUCUGUGGAACUGCCCAGGGGAGAAAAGUCGGAUGGGACCACGUGAGCCCACAGCUCACGUGGCAUGAGACGGCCUGGUGUGAACGGCUGCGGGGGCAGGCCCAUGCGAAAGGCAGGCACUCUCGCCCUCCCCUCUUCUCCCACUCAGGAGGGCCAUCUACAUCUAGGCCUCAAGCCAUGGCCACACGGACACCACAGCAGCUGGGCAGCUCUUUGGCAAGCCUGGGAGAGCAGGGACUUCAGGGAAGUAAAGGAGAACCCAGACAAAGCCUCCUUUCAAAAGACUCCUCUCUUGAGGACUUCGGGCUAUGGGCCCUUGGAGUCGGGGAAGACGUGGUCCCCACGGGGGAAGCUUGGCAAACUCCUGUCCCUGGGCAUCCAGUGGGCAGGGGGCAAGAAGGGAGCGUGCUGCUGGCACCAGGCCCCUGGCCUGGAUGGACCUGGACAGACGAACCAUGCCACAUGCUGGCCCGUCUCUCGAGGCCAACGAGUUAGCUCACGCUACCGAAGCAAGUGCCCUGGGCCUCCCACCGCCACUGCCCCCACGGCUGGUGCCGGUGGCUCCCCGUCUGUGGCAAUCUUUGCGGGCCCCGUCCUCCCUCCUGUGACUCCCCCUGGUCUAGGCGGGCAGCAGGCGGCGUCAUCUGAACUCCGUGAUAACAGUCUCCUCUAGGCUGGCAGGGCCGGGCCGGUGGCCCAGGGGGCGCUCGUGGCUCUGGAGCCCUGCCGGCCCGGCCCCCCACACCCCCUCCCCCAGCUCGGGCACGUUACCUGCUGUGCCAAUGAGUUUCUUGGAUUUGUUGAAGAUCUGAUCACCUGGGUUAGGAGGUGGCGCUACGUCCUGGCCCUGCCGCGCCAGCAGAGGGUUGUAAUCCUUUCCGUCAUAGUUUGCGUCAAAGAAUUUCUUAAACCACUGAAUAAACUCAAAAUUAUCUUGGAA